GGUGAUUCUUGGGUGACACACCCCAGAAUCAAGCUCCCUCCUCUCUGGUUCUGCAUCACCUGAGAACCGCA
rfam:Myotis davidii contig174722, whole genome shotgun sequence.